AUGCCACUCUCCAGUCUACUGUGGGUGUUCGUGGCCUUCAUCUACUCUGGAUCUGUUGUGGCCCAGAGUGUUACUCAAGCCCAGUCAGCUACAUCCAUGCCAGAGGGGGCAGCUGUCACUCUGGACUGUCAGUAUGAGACGAGUUGGGCAUCACACUAUAUUUACUGGUACAAACAACUUCCCACUGGCGAGAUAAUGUUCCUCAUUCAUCAGGGUUCUUACAGCCAGAAUGCAAAGCUUGGUCGCUAUUCUAUAAACUUCCAGAAAGAAGCUAAAUCUAUCAGCCUCAUCAUUUCAGCCUUACAGGUGGGAGAUUCAGCAAGAUACUUCUGUGCUCUCGAGGAACUCACUGUGUUUGAAGAGAUAGUGAAAGCUGAACAAAAACCUCAGGACUCAAUAACAGAGAGCUCCCUGCUGUAG